GCGGGACUUCCGGCUGGCGCCGCCUGCGAAGAGCUCGGCGGCAGGCAGAGACGCGCGGGUGGCCAGCGAUGGCCGCGGAGAGGGCCAGCUGUGGCCUGGCCCACGGAGGCCGACGGGAGGCUGCGGCCGAAGAGUCGCUCCCUUUGUCCUGGGCAUGGUGUGUGUCUCGCGCCUGUUUAUCCCGCCGCCUCCUCGGCCGCCGUCACCAAUCUGCAAGCACAUCUGAAGUUGGACUGGCUGUGUUUCAAGGGCUCAGGAGCCGUGGUUACCAACGGCUACAGCAUUGAACUAUGCAGUGCUAGAUACGGAGUCAGGAAAGAAAUUAAGUGGAUUCCACAGCAAGUGGCCAUGGCACUCACCUUGAGGGGAUCUGAGAUUGCUCACCAAGGAUCAAACCCCAGGUCCCCUGCAUUGAGAGCUGGAGUCUUAACCACUGGACCACCAGGGAAGUCCCCCUGUUAACUUAAAUUUGAUGCUAACUUAAAAAGCCUGUUUGUGGCUUAUCAACCUACAUUGUACAUCUGCUUUACUUAAAGAAGAGGACGCACUGACCAGAAGUCAAGGAUGUCCAUGUUCAAAAUAAAGAUUAAAGUCCUUGCUGGGAUGCCA
rnacentral:lncRNA from 1 species